rnacentral:rRNA from 1 species
CCUACGGGUGGCAGCAGUAGGGAAUCUUCCACAAUGGGCGAAAGCCUGAUGGAGCAACGCCGCGUGGGUGAAGAAGGUCUUCGGAUCGUAAAACCCUGUUGUUAGAGAAGAAAGUGCGUGAGAGUAACUGUUCACGUUUCGACGGUAUCUAACCAGAAAGCCACGGCUAACUACGUGCCAGCAGCCGCGGUAAUACGGGGGAUGCGAGCGUUAUCCGGAUUUAUUGGGUUUAAAGGGUGCGUAGGCGGCGCUUCAGGUCAGCGGUGAAAUACCGGGGCUCAACCCCGGGGCUGCCGUUGAAACCGGAGCGCUAGAAUUCCGAUGCCGUCGGAGGAAUGUGUGGUGUAGCGGUGAAAUGCAUAGAUAUCACACAGAACACCGAUUGCGAAGGCAUCUGACGAAUCGGAGAUUGACGCUGAUGCACGAAAGCGUGGGUAUCGAACAGGAUUAGAUACCCCGGUAGUC